ACCACAUAAGCGCCGGCCAAAGGCGCAUCAGGGGAACAUGAAUG
rnacentral:ncRNA from 17 species